UACAGAGGGUGCAAGCGUUGCUCGGAAUUAUUGGGCGUAAAGGGUAGGUAGGUGGUCUCAUUUGUUGGGGGUGAAAGCCUUGGGCUUAACCCAAGAAGUGCCUUCGAAACGGUGAGACUGGAGUCCUGGAGAGGGUCGUGGAAUUCCCGGUGUAGCGGUGAAAUGCGUAGAGAUCGGGAGGAACACCAGAGGCGAAGGCGGCGACCUGGACAGGUACUGACACUCAACUACGAAAGCGUGGGGAGCAAACAGG
rnacentral:rRNA from 1 species